rnacentral:sRNA from 2 species
UUUUUGCAUAAGGGAUAGAAGCGGCAUCCUUUUUCUUGUUAUUUUUAGCAGAGUCAAAAAAUAAUAACAAGAAAAAGAUAUAGCGUAUAGCCCGACCCGUA